ACAGGAAGAAAAAAACUUAAAAUGUACAGGAAAGAAGAAUGGAGGACAUAGCAGGGUGGAAGAGUACAUUGAAGCAGUAAGGGAUAUGAAGAAGCUGGAAGGGUUCAGUCUGGCGGGUCCACCAAUCGCCCUCGAAGAGCCUGCUAUCAAGACUGGCUGUCACAGCGCCUGUUGCUGGUAAGAAUUUUAAAAGCUUGGACACAACUUUUACCUCUCAAAAACGGAACAGGCCUGAACUGCCUGAACAGGACAUACAAGGGGAGAAGAAACCAAACAUAUAGAAACAAAAUGUAAUCUGUAGAACUGAAUUGCCUUCUUAAACUGUGCAAGUGACAAAAAAAUUCUUUUUCUUAUAAUUCAUUAAAAUGAAAUUAAUGGCAA